CUCACAAGGCGCUUUCAGAUUUGCUCGAUCUACGUUACACUUCAGCAGAAUCCUAGGCUAUGAAUAUGAAGUUUCUUCUGCCCGUCCUUGGUAUCCGGCUUCGGCCGGCGGUCCUUUGUGCCGCUGGCAUUUCAGCCGUAGCUGUCACUUCUUUUCUUGUUUACAGGUGGCGUGUUCGGGAUCGGCAGCAGGCGGUAGAAGAAGCUGCGACCCACACUGAGCCCAGCGACCAACUGGAGGAUCGGGAGCCUUUUCCGUUGGAUCAGGACACGUUUGAAACGACCUGUACUCUGAUCCUAAAGCCUCUCCAAGCUCUGCACAACGCAAACAGGAUGUUUGCCUACACCUUCUCGCAGAUGUUUUAUGCAGAUACAAAGAUGGUAGAGGUGAAGCUCCAGCACAAAUCCAUCUACAGUGGGCUGGAGAGCGAGCACUGGUGGGUGCUCAGCAAUGCGUUUUACCACGUGUGUGCAGAGCUUACCCUCCAGAACUUUGCCAACGUUAAUGCUGUGGCCUGCAUCAAGCGCAGAGGAACCGGCAUCACUGGGGCGACCUUCUACCUGUGCGCCGAGUCAACAGAGUCAUCGGUGCAGAAUAUUUUUCUGAUGGCCUUUUCAGGUCAUCUGAGUACAGUCACACCCAGACCGUCGAGACGCCGCACCCCGCUGUGUUUUCUAACGGACCAUGAUCACCAAGAGGACCCCCUCCACCUCCUCCUCCAGGCUUUUAAUAACCCACAGAACACUUUGAUUGACAUUAUACACAUUUAGGAUUUAUUAUAUGCUAUGUAUCAUACAAUUUCUUUUACCCUCAAUGCUCUUGUAUGCAUGUGGGUGUUUUUCAGAUGCAGUCUGUUUUCACAUAGCCAUGUGAGGCCUAGGUCUUGACCUGUUGGCGCAAGAAGCUUGAGCAUCACAUGGACUGAUCACCAAACUGGAGCAGUUUAGGUCUCCAGUGCAGGCUUUUUCCUGGAUUACAGACAACUAG